AACGUUGGCGGUGCGCUUAAUGCAUGCAAGUCGAGGGAGAACCAGUUGAUUCGUAAGAUUCGGCUGGGGAAACCGGCGAACGGGUGCGUAACACGUGAGGAACCUGCCCCGAAGACCGGGAUAGCCCGAGGAAACUCGGAUUAAUACCGGAUACCCUCUUUGGACCACAUGGUCGAUUGAGGAAAUGGUCCGCCGCUUCGGGAUGGCCUCGCGGCCUAUCAGCUUGUUGGUGAGGUAAUGGCUCACCAAGGCCGAGACGGGUAGCUGGUCUGAGAGGACGAUCAGCCACACUGGGACUGAGACACGGCCCAGACUCCUACGGGAGGCAGCAGCAGGGAAUAUUGCACAAUGGGCGAAA
rnacentral:rRNA from 1 species